UACGUAGGGGGCAAGCGUUGUCCGGAAUUAUUGGGCGUAAAGAGCGUGUAGGCGGCCCGACAAGUCCGCCGUGAAAGUCCAGGGCUCAACCCUGGAAUGCCGGUGGAAACUGUCGGGCUUGAGUUCGGAAGAGGCGAGUGGAAUUCCUGGUGUAGCGGUGAAAUGCGCAGAUAUCAGGAGGAACACCAAUGGCGAAGGCAGCUCGCUGGGACGACACUGACGCUGAGACGCGAAAGCGUGGGGAGCAAACAGGAUUAGAUACCCCCGUAGUCC
rnacentral:rRNA from 1 species